GGCCUGAUAGUUCAGUGGUAGAAUUCUUGCUUUGGGUUGUCUAAUCUAAACUGUAAGAGGUCUCCGGUUCGAUCCCGGAUUAGGCCC
rfam:Botryotinia fuckeliana T4 unplaced genomic scaffold BcT4_SuperContig_N_V3_B__V4, whole genome shotgun sequence.